UCAUGUACAUGGUUAACUGACUGAUUGCCCCCCCCUCCCAGGCUGGCAGUCCAUUCAGGGAGCCCCUGAUCAAGUUCCUGACGCAUCCCCCAUCUCAGACUGUAGAGUUGUUCAUGAUGGAGGCCACACUCAAUGACCCACAGUAGAGCUACAUGUUCAUGGUGAGACAAACGCCAUCCUGUGGCUCAGUUGGUAGAGCAUGGUGUGUGCAAUGCCAGGGUUGUGGGUUCGAUUCCCAUGGGGGGCCAGUACAACAAAAACAAAAAAAUCCAUGAAAUGAAAAUGAAAUGUAUGUAUUCACUACUGUAAGUCACUCUGGAUAAGAGCGUCUGCUAAAUGACUAAAAUGUAAAAAAAAUUUAAAUCCUGCCCGAGAGCCUCAGGUACAUUACGUCUCUCUACGGAGCUUUAACUGUGUGGAGGUGAUGUCAACACCAUCCUGCCCAUGAGCCUUGGGUACAUUACGUCUCACUACGGAGCUUUAACUGUGUGGAGGUGAUGUCAACACCAUCCUGCCCAAGAGCCUUGGGUACAUUAUGUCUCACUAUGGAGCUUUAACUGUGUGGAGGAAUCCCUGUUUGAUGUCAGAUAGAAUUGCAGUUAUGGCUGCUAACAUUAUGCUCCGGGUGUUCUCAUUCAGAGCCUUUGCUCCAUGGAUCUGUUUAAGAAAUGCAUGAGAUAAUUCCCAUUCUCCUAAUCCCCUUUCCUCUGUUGUGCUCCAGAGCUUCCUGAAACAUAAAGAAGCCAAGCCCCUGACGGACAUGCUGGCCUCCAACCCCAGCCGCUUCACCCCCCUGCUGGUACUGCAGCCACAGCCAGGUCUGGGUCCUCCACCACCGACACCGCAAGGCUCGACCUGCAGUUCCAGGCCAUCAAGAUCAUCAGUAUCAUAGUGAACAACGAGGAGGGUUGGUUAGCGGGGCAGCACUCUCUGGUCAGCCAGCUCAGACAGGUUUGGGCCAGUUAGGCCUUCCAGGAACGACACCGCAAAGACAACAUAGCCGCCAUCAACUGGAAAGAGCCCAAGCUGCUGGCCUACAGUCUGCUCAGCCAUUGCAAGUAUGUACUAAAAAACCCACACACCAUGAUACUGCUGUAAAUAUGCAUCAUUUGCACUACCACUUCAGUAUGAAACUGCCUGGGUUGGUCAAUACUUCUAAGAUCAAGAUGCGUCAUUGACUGUCAUCUAUCUUUCAUGUAAAACUUUAUUUUUUAUACCUUGCAUGCUCACACACUGUCAGUGUUCUACUCACUGUUUACUCACCCCCCUUCCCUCCAGGCAUAACUUCAAUGAGAUCGAGCUGCUGUUCCAGCUGCUGAGGGCGUUUAUGGGUUGUUUCCUGUGCAACAUGACCUUCCUAAAGGACCACAUGGAGGAGGAGAUCCCUAAGAACUACAGCAUCGCUCAAAAACGAAUUCUCUUCUUUCAAUGACCCACAUUUCAACAAUGAGCUCAAAGCCAAGGUAACCAACCCACCCUUCCCUCUCUCUCUCACACACACACACACGGACGUAUGGGAACACAGCAUCCUCUCAAAUGUUUUCACACACACAAACACCGACAUGGUAAAAGAACAUAAUAUUAAAAGCCCCAAAAUGGAAAUUAAAAUUCCUAACCGUGAGUGUUCCCUGCUGGACUGCAUUGUUUUAAUUUCAGCGGUGCAGCGCCAGUCCCCCCCUC
rnacentral:lncRNA from 8 species